rnacentral:tRNA from 1 species
CGGGGCGUAGCGCAGUCUGGUAGCGCAUCUGCUUUGGGAGCAGAGGGUCGCAAGUUCGAAUCUUGCCGCCCCGACCA